rnacentral:rRNA from 1 species
AGGCAGCAGUGGGGAAUAUUGCACAAUGGGCGCAAGCCUGAUGCAGCCAUGCCGCGUGUAUGAAGAAGGCCUUCGGGUUGUAAAGCACUUUCAGUUGUGAGGAAGGUGGUGUCGUUAAUAGCGGCAUCAUUUGACGUUAGCAACAGAAGAAGCACCGGCUAACUCCGUGCCAGCAGCCGCGGUAAUACGGAGGGUGCGAGCGUUAAUCGGAAUUACUGGGCGUAAAGCGCAUGCAGGUGGUUUGUUAAGUCAGAUGUGAAAGCCCCGGGGCUCAACCUCGGAACUGCAUUUGAAACUGGCAGACUAGAGUACUGUAGAGGGGGUAGAAUUUCAGGUGUAGCGGUGAAAUGCGUAGAGAUCUGAAGGAAUACCGGUGGCGAAGGCGGCCCCCUGGACAGAUACUGACACUCAGAUGCGAAAGCGUGGGGAGCAAACAGGAUUAGAUACCCUGGUAG